UACGGAGGGUGCAAGCAUUGAUCGGGAUUACUGGGCGUAAAGGGCGCGCAGGCGGCCGAGAAAGUCAGAUGUGAAAUUCCGGGGCUCAACCCCGGAGCUGCAUUUGAAACUUCCCGGCUAGAGUACAGUUAGGGUAAACGGAAUUCCACGUGUAGCGGUGAAAUGCGUAGAUAUGUGGAAGAACACCGGUGGUGAAGGCGGUUUACUGGGCUAAGACUGACGCUGAGGCGCGAAAGCAUGGGGAGCAAACAGG
rnacentral:rRNA from 1 species